rnacentral:lncRNA from 1 species
GUUUCAGUUUUUCAAUUAUUGGUGUAUUCCAAUAUUUAUUUGGUGGAUUCCAAAUAAUUAUCACGUCUGUUCGAGCAAAAUUCAAGCAAACACCCGUUCGUGUGUUACGAACUAGACAACUUUAUUUUAUCCACGUUUCCUUCCAGCGUCACUGUCAAUCUUUACCAUUGCUUAAGGACUAUAUAAUAAGGAAUAAGGUAUACUGGGUGCAAUAAUUGUAGAAAACAUGGGGCGGAGCCAGGGGAUAUCCACUGAAUGUUUGAAUUGAGAAUCAAUAAUUUACACUUUUCAUUCUUAACAUCACCCAGCUCUUCGGAUUGAUUUUUGGUUAUGUAGGAGUUGACAUCUACAUGGAAAGGAAAGAAGCGAUUUGAGAGUGCCAUAGCGGCCAUCAUUUAUAGUCAAGUGAAAGAAGGUGUCAACACAUGCACACAAUCUUAGGUAAACCAUUACUUCAAAAUGUUGGAUUUUCUUACUAAAAUGAGUUUUUCAUCAGGUAUUGCAUUUUGAUCGGAGGCUUCCAGCCAUGUUUUUUUUAUAUUUUUGGCAUUGAGAAUUUAAUAGCUUGAAGGAGAAAAAAAGGGAAAAACAGAUUUUUAGUUUAUAUAUUUUUGGCAUUGCCAUUUCAAUGCUCAGUUACCAUCCUCAAUGGAACUGCCCUUUUUUUUUUGCGGUGUAAUGUUUUAUUUUGUUUUCUAUUGAGUUUAUUGUUGGAUAAUAAAUGCAUAUAUUUUUCCGGAUGAUGCGCACGACCUAAUCACUCUGAGAUAUUAACUUAAGCCCAACUUUUGAGUUUUGAGCACCUCUAUUUAUUUUGGGGGGCUUCAAGAAGUUAACACCGUGUGAAAAAAUCAAAUUAGUAUGGUUAACCCCUUAAGUCAUUAUUUUUCUUUCUCUUAAACUCAAUUUUUGUUACUAAGCAAAAUCUAAACUGAAGAUGUGCAGCAUUGGUGAUUAUAAUUUAGUCAAUCUGUUUAUCCAUUACAAUUUAGUAAUGAAAUCUGAUUGUGAACUGUGUAACAACAGGGGUUUCUCCUCAAGGAAUUCCCAAAGGAUGUAUAUGCCCUAUAACAUCCACACGAGCAGGUCGACGGUGCCAAAAUAAAUGUAAGAUUGAUUCAAAUGAUUCUGCAGUGACUCCCUCCGGUGGUAGUCCUUAUCUUCAGAUGUCAAAGGGAGGGCUGAACAUCAUCGCUACCAUAGGAUGGACGCUAAACCUACAAAAUAGGGCAUUUUACAUAGAAUUGGCACAAUUAUCAUUCGUUUAGUAUGUUAUUCUUAUACAUGUUGUAAAUAUGUAAAAAAAUUCCAAUAUUGGAUAAAUUGUGAAUUUUAUAUUUGUCUAUAUUUUUCUUCCGUAGGUAUGUUAACAUUAUCUUAAAAAUAACAAAGCCCCUGCAUUGCACAAGUAGAAGACUAGUACUUGAAAAAAAUCAUGUCUAGGGGUGAGCAAGGAUCGGGUUGGGUGGGCUGGUACCUAAAGAAAUCAAACUGAUGUCUCCUACAAAGGGAUUCGAUUUGAACAGAAUAAGUUUGGUUUGGAUCAGUUCGAUUUCCUACAAUUUUCUCAUAUCUACUACCGGCCACCCAAACCACCACCACCAUCGUUGAAUACCACAAGCAAAUAAGGAC